GGAUUCCCCUAGUAACGGCGAGUGAAGCGGGAAGAGCUCAAAUUUGAAAUCUGGCAGUCUUCGAUUGUCCGAGUUGUAAUCUAUAGAGGCGUUUUCCGUGCCGGACCGUGUCCAAGUCUCCUGGAAAGGAGUAUCAAAGAGGGUGAUAAUCCCGUACUUAACACGACCACCGGUGCUCUGUGAUACGUCUUCUACGAGUCGAGUUGUUUGGGAAUGCAGCUCAAAAUGGGUGGUGAAUUCCAUCUAAAGCUAAAUAUUGGCGAGAGACCGAUAGCGAACAAGUACCGUGAGGGAAAGAUGAAAAGCACUUUGGAAAGAGAGUUAAACAGUACGUGAAAUUGUUGAAAGGGAAACGAUUGAAGUCAGUCGUGUUCUUUGGAUUCAGCCAGUUCUGCUGGUCUACUUCCUUGGAACGGGUCAACAUCAGUUUUGUCCGGUGGAUAAAGGUAGUAGGAAUGUGACUUCUCCGGAAGUGUUAUAGCCUAUUAUCACAUACACUGGGUGAGACUGAGGACUGCAGCUCGCCUUUAUGGCCGGUCUUCGGACACGUUCGAGCUUAGGAUGUUGACAUAAUGGCUUUAAACGACCCGUCUGAAA
rnacentral:rRNA from 1 species